ensembl:snoRNA SNORD18 Small nucleolar RNA SNORD18
CAGCUAUGAUGAGCUUACACUUCAUGGUCCGUGUUUCUGAUUGCCAUGAUUUCAGUGGAAGUUCUGAGCAU